CAACGACUUGUGGUGGAAAAUGUCACUUGACCAAAUAUCUCUCCAGGUUUCUUCGAAAGCCGUUGUUAACCAAGAAAAUCCCAUGGAUUCGACGUACGGACUUAAGGGCGUUAUAGUAGCUCAGGAACGCAGUAUUUGGGUUCAGACCUUUUCACGGAUGCCGAAUGGAUCUUUUCCUGAUAAAGACGCGAUCCUGAUUUUGAGAAAGCUACGGAGAUUUCUGCAUCCAAACAUUGUACAGUUAUUCGGCAUUAUUCAAACCGAUUUGCGCCUGCUGUUUGUCAGCGAAUACGCCGAUAAGGGCGAUCUGGACAGUGCCUUAAAAAUCAGCAGUAUGGAAGACUGGG